rnacentral:rRNA from 1 species
UACAGAGGUGGCAAGCGUUGUUCGGAAUUACUGGGCGUAAAGGGCGCGUAGGCGGCCUUCUAAGUCAGACGUGAAAUCCCCGGGCUCAACCCGGGAACUGCGUCCGAUACUGGCAGGCUUGAAUCCGGGAGAGGGAUGCGGAAUUCCAGGUGUAGCGGUGAAAUGCGUAGAUAUCUGGAGGAACACCGGUGGCGAAGGCGGCAUCCUGGACCGGCAUUGACGCUCAGACACGACAGCAUGGGGAGCGAACGGG